rnacentral:sRNA from 1 species
GAUAAGCAGGUUUUUUAUGCCUACUUAUAUGCUGAAUGCGUGGUUCAGUUCAAUUCCCCUAAAACACAAACAUGUCGAUGCAGCUAUAGGGGGUGUCAAUCCAGUCCACUGUUAUUGCUAGCAAUCAAGAUGUGUACAGAAACAACUAAGUCAAGCCAGAUUAUAAUGAUGGUGGAUUUCUAGUAACAAUCUUAGGUUAGGAUUCGAACAAGUAAAAAUGAGAACUUAAGAGCCCUACUCGAUCAUUGGGUCGAGUAUAACCAAUAGGCAGAACUAAAAUGCAAUCAACAGGGGAUACAAAUAACAGGUAAAUAAAAGUGCAAUCAACAGGGGAUACAAAUAAAUCUAAUAAAAGUUCUAAGGAUGGGUUCAUUGAUAAGGGCAACUCUAGGGUUCAUCAGAUGGCUAAUAGGUGAAAGGUAGAUACCCUUGACGAUAGAUUCAAAAACCGGGUCAAUCCACACUUGGGACAGAGAUCCCCAUAACUCUACCACUUCCUAAUCUUAACUGUCGUUGAUGAAACAUAGUAGAGAAGGGUUUAAGAAACAAUCUACCAAAGCCAAUAAGCAGACAAGCCAAUCUCUUGGUCGAGUCUACAAAUCUCUGGAAUUUGAUGAUCAGACAUCCAUUUGAACGUCUUUUGGACGCUGGACGUCUAUGAUCGAAUCUCCACAUCAGCCAGCGAAAACUGCAUAGGGGCGAAGCAAAUCCACAAGGGUUCUAAACUAAUCUUAACCACCUAACUAACCUAGAGAUUACCCUAAUCUAAUCCAUCCUCAAGAAUCCUAAUCACUACUCAAGCAACAUUCUCAAGAACACAAACCCAGAAAUUACUGAAAUCAUACCAAAAUGUAGAUCUAAACAAGCUAAACAACUUUACUUAAACAACUAAAUGCAAAAACGAAAUAGAUUAAGAGUAAUUAAGUUUUGAAGAUUCAAGAACACAAAGAAAACCUAAAGAUAAAAGCUAGAUCCUUUGGACAAACCCCAAAGUGAUCUAUUUAUAGUAAAAUGUUGAAACCCUAGAUUCACUAGUAGGCAAGAGACUUGAGGCGGUUUGGGCGAAUACUCGAUCUUGGGGAUCGAGUAAAGAGGGUGCUGCAAAGUCUGCGCCUUUGUGUCUAUGCUCCGAGUGAUCAAUUGGUCGAGUAGAUGCUUCUUCCUCUCCUAUUUGUAUGCUCAAAUGUCUAGUUUAGUGGGGAAUGAGGAGGAUCCGAAGACGCUUUGAUAGCUCAACAAGUCUUGUAGUUUGGUCACCCUUGGUCGAGUAAACGGGUCGAGUAGAGGAUCGAGUAGGAGGGGCGAGUAUAUCAAUCUGCUGCUUCAUCUAAGGCUGCCUUGAUCGAGUAAGAGGGUCAAGUAAACUGCAUCCUCCUCUUUAGCUGCCUCGAUCGAGUAGAGAGGUCGAGUAAACUGAUGCCUCUUCUCUAGCUGCCUGGAUCGAGUGAAUGGAUCGAGUAGAGUCCUUUUUAGCCCCUUCUGCACCUGAAAACACACCAAAACAUGCAAUGCGUAUGCGAGAUGAUCCUAGAUGCCUAAGUAUGCAUAAUA